UAUGACCACAUCAUGUUGAAACACCGGUUCCCAUAUAAUCACCAAAGUUAAGCAACAUUGAGCCUUGUCAGUAUCUAAAUGGGUGACAGCUUGGGAAUACCAGGUGCUGUAA